AGGUCAUUUCAAAGAGGGCUUGUGAGUCUGUGAAACCAGAGGUCUUAACACUAUGACCAAAGAAAUUCUCCAUAGGAUGACACAGUCACUCAAUAGUGCUAUCUUUCCCUGAAGAGAUGCAAGA